rnacentral:rRNA from 1 species
GAUGAACGCUAGCGGCGUGCCUAAUACAUGCAAGUCGAGCGAAUGGAUUAAGAGCUUGCUCUUAUGAAGUUAGCGGCGGACGGGUGAGUAACACGUGGGUAACCUGCCCAUAAGACUGGGAUAACUCCGGGAAACCGGGGCUAAUGCCGGAUAACAUUUUGAACCGCAUGGUUCGAAAUUGAAAGGCGGCUUCGGCUGUCACUUAUGGAUGGACCCGCGUCGCAUUAGCUAGUUGGUGAGGUAACGGCUCACCAAGGCAACGAUGCGUAGCCGACCUGAGAGGGUGAUCGGCCACACUGGGACUGAGACACGGCCCAGACUCCUACGGGAGGCAGCAGUAGGGAAUCUUCCGCAAUGGACGAAAGUCUGGCGGAGCAACGCCGCGUGAGUGAUGAAGGCUUUCGGGUCGUAAAACUCUGUUGUUAGGGAAGAACAAGUGCUAGUUGAAUAAGCUGGCACCUUGACGGUACCUAACCAGAAAGCCACGGCUAACUACGUGCCAGCCGCCGCAGUAA